UACGAAGGGGGCUAGCGUUGCUCGGAAUCACUGGGCGUAAAGCGCACGUAGGCGGGUCCUUAAGUCGGGUGUGAAAUCCUGGAGCUCAACUCCAGAACUGCCUUCGAUACUGAGGAUCUAGAGUCCGGGAGAGGUGAGUGGAACUCCGAGUGUAGAGGUGAAAUUCGUAGAUAUUAGGAAGAACACCAGUGGCGAAGGCGGCUCACUGGUCCGGUACUGACGCUGAGGUGCGAAAGCGUGGGGAGCAAACAGG
rnacentral:rRNA from 1 species